CAAUAGCGUAUAUUAAAGUUGUUGCAGUUAAAAAGCUCGUAGUUGGAUUUGUGGCGUACGGUGUGUUCCGGGCACUUGUUGUCUGAGUAACCUGCUGUUGCCAUCCUUGGGUGGAACCUGUGUGGCAUUAGGUUGUCGUGCGGGGGAUGCCCAUCAUUUACUGUGAAAAAAUUAGAGUGUUCAAAGCAGGCUUAUGCCGUUGAAUAUAUUAGCAUGGAAUAAUGAGAUAGGACUUUUUUGCUAUUUUGUUGGUUUGCGCAAAGAGGUAAUGAUUAAUAGGGACAGCUGGGGGUAUUCGUAUUCCAUUGUCAGAGGUGAAAUUCUUGGAUUUUUGGAAGACGAACUACUGCGAAAGCAUUUACCAAGGAUGCUUUCAUUAA
rnacentral:rRNA from 1 species